rnacentral:rRNA from 1 species
GACGAACGCUGGCGGCGUGCUUAACACAUGCAAGUCGAGCGGAAAGGCCCUUCGGGGUACUCGAGCGGCGAACGGGUGAGUAACACGUGAGUAACCUGCCCUUGGCUCUGGGAUAAGCCCGGGAAACUGGGUCUAAUACCGGAUAUGACCAUCAGAUGCAUGUCUUCGGUGGUGGAAAGAUUUUUCGGCUGGGGAUGGGCUCGCGGUCUAUCAGCUUGUUGGUGGGGUGAUGGCCUACCAAGGCGACGACGGGUAGCCGGCCUGAGAGGGUGACCGGCCACACUGGGACUGAGACACGGCCCAGACUCCUACGGGAGGCAGCAGUGGGGAAUAUGCGCAAUGGGCGAAGCCUGACGCAGCGACGCCGCGU